rnacentral:sRNA from 1 species
ACCUAUAGUUUCUCAGCGAUAGGCACUCGUUCAUCCCCUUGGCUACUUGAAACUGCUGCCGUGUCGGCUGCAACGCU